rnacentral:rRNA from 1 species
AGCGAACGCUGGCGGCAGGCUUAACACAUGCAAGUCGAGCGGGCAUCUUCGGGUGUCAGCGGCGGACGGGUGAGUAACGCGUGGGAACGUGCCUUCUGGUUCGGAAUAACUCAGGGAAACUUGAGCUAAUACCGGAUACGCCCUUUUGGGGAAAGGUUUACUGCCGGAAGAUCGGCCCGCGUCUGAUUAGCUAGUUGGUGGGGUAACGGCCUACCAGGGCGACGAUCAGUAGCUGGUCUGAGAGGAUGAUCAGCCACACUGGGACUGAGACACGGCCCAGACUCCUACGGGAGGCAGCAGUGGGGAAUAUUGGACAAUGGGGGCAACCUUGAUCCAGCCAUGCCGCGUGAGUGAUGAAGGCCUUAGGGUUGUAAAGCUCUUUUAUCCGGGACGAUAAUGACGGUACCGGAGGAAUAAGCCCCGGCUAACUUCGUGCCAGCCGCCGCCGUAA